GAAUGCAAGAGAGAUUUGGCAGGCAGGCAUCCCCUUACUGCCUCAUGUGUGUCUCUCCCAAAGCUGUGCUUUUGGUUAAGAAGACAGCCUUCCCCAGGAGAGGAGGACUAUUCUUUGGUCAAAAGUAAAACAGAAUAUCUGAAGGCUUUAGGAAAGUCUAACUCAUCUAAAAGAAAGGUCCUGUGCAAAAUACUGCAGUACUUCUAUUGAGAGACAGUGUAUGAGCCAAGGAAAAUCUAAUUACCCAGUGCAAAACCCCAGUUUUCUGCAUUGCUCU
ensembl:misc_RNA 7SK 7SK RNA